AACUUUUAUUGCAGAUACGCCAGUGACAAAUCGCAUAUUUAUCCCAAUAUAUUAAUAUGGUCUCAAAUAUAGAUUCAAAUACACCGUUAAGGACGAUAAGUCAAAUAAAAUUUAAGUGUUAAUUAAUAAAUAAUUAAUAAACUAUGUUUAGGUAACUGCCGAAUGCAUAUUGAGACUUAAUACAAGCAUUUUAUUAUCGGCCUAAACAUUUAAAAGAAGAGUCAUGUACGAAAUCAUUAAAUGAAGUAUGAACUAACUUGAAUGACUCGUCAAUUCAUCAUAGAAGGCCUUUCUGGUAAAAACUUUAAGUAAAAUGUAUAUUGUGCUCAACUGCGCAAGAGAAUAUGGCGUUGAAUUCUACCACGCUGCCGUAACUACGCCAACUUUCUCCACUUUCUGGAGAGAUAAUUAAUUGAAGCUCCUAUUUGCCUAAAUAUGUAUGGAAAUGCUUAAAGUAUAAAAGUUUUUUUACAACAUAGUUCUAUUUAUAAUCAUCGCCGUAUUAAAUGAAUACAUAAUACUUCCAGAAAUUGUUAAUCUCUAGUACGGAAAAAGACUGUUGGUAGAUCGGAGAUCCUCAACAUAUUUUGGAAAAUAUAAAAACAAAAAUAAAACUGUUUCUAAAUGUAUUUGUGUACAACAAUAGACUGUUUGUAAUUUAUACGA